rnacentral:antisense_RNA from 1 species
CUUAGCUGAUUUUUCUUCUUGCCUUAUACUGGGUUCUUUAACACCAGAACAAAAAUAAAUAAAUAAAAGAAUCUUCCAGAAAUUCAUGAAGAGACUUCAGGUCAGGAAAGCCUGAACUUUCUCAUCUAACACCUGUUCAAGUCGGAGGAUGCUGAUUAAUUCAUGAUGGAAAGGUAUCAAUUUCACAGCCCAGACUUCUACAUUCUUGAAAUGCUGUUCUCAUGGGAGACAUUAAAUAAGCUUUGAAAUAACUGAAUGUACAGGGUGUACCAUGAACAAUUCUGACAUAUGAUUUAAUCUAUGUGUGACUACAUUUUAAAUACAUCUGGGAAGGAUUGAACAAUGAAGUGGAGCCCAUCAAUAUUGGUACUGAAAACGAGACAUAAGCCCUUAAGUAAAGGUGCCAUCAAAUGAUUUCUCAGAAAUUAUAAAGAAACAAAAGGACCAUAAACAAGAUAAGGUGGCACGAGGAAACACUAAAAGUACCUUUCAGAGCUGACUGGCAAAGAAACUCCUGAGGUGAUGGUUCUACCCCAAUAUUACUUCUUCCAAGAGCAACCUAACUGACCUUGUAUUGAAGACAGCAUAACCCCCAAGAGGAAAGGAGCUUGGAGCCCUGAAUCAGAGUAGAAGACAGGCUGAACACCAGCCUUGGACUGUUGUGUGAAUGAAAAACAAGUUUUGAGAUUUGUGUGGUUUACUUAUUAUAGUUACUGUUAUUAUUAAAGUUUUUCACUGCUUUACUCU